CCGAGAAUAUUGGACAAUGGGGGAAACCCUGAUCCAGCGACACCGCGUGUGGGAAGACGGUCUUCGGAUUGUAAACCACUUUUAUUUGGGAGCAAGUUAUUGAGAGUACCAUUUGAAUAAGGGGUUGCUAACUCUGUGCCAGCAGCAGCGGUAAUACAGAGACCCCAAGCGUUAUCCGGAUUUAUUGGGCAUAAAGGGUGCGUAGGCGGUUAAAGAAGUCUUCGGUCAAAGCUCCAGGGCUCAACCUUGGAAAUGCCGGGGAAACCAUUUAACUUGAAGGCGCUAGAGGCUAACGGAACCAUAAGUGUAGGGGUGAAAUCCGUUGAUAUUUAUGGGAACACCAAAAGCGAAGGCAGUUAGCUGGGGCGACCUUGACGUUGAGGCACGAAAGCGUGGGGAGCAAAAAGG
rnacentral:rRNA from 1 species